UGCUAGGAAGCUAAACCGGACUCAGCAUCAGCCCUUUAAGCUGAAAAUUGGUGACUUCCAACCACCCCUAGUGU
rnacentral:tRNA from 2 species